rnacentral:rRNA from 1 species
UACGGGGGGAGCAAGCGUUGUUCGGAUUUACUGGGCGUAAAGGGCGCGUAGGCGGUCAGCACAAGUCAGUUGUGAAAUCUCCGAGCUUAACUCGGAAAGGUCAACUGAUACUGUGCGACUAGAGUGCGGAAGGGGCAACUGGAAUUCUUGGUGUAGCGGUGAAAUGCGUAGAUAUCAAGAGGAACACCUGAGGUGAAGACGGGUUGCUGGGCCGACACUGACGCUGAGUGCGCGAAAGCCAGGGGAGCAAACGGG